CAGUUCGGAUCGCAGUCUGCAACUCGACUGCGUGAAGCUGGAAUCGCUAGUAAUCGCGCAUCAGCCAUGGCGCGGUGAAUACGUUCCCGGGCCUUGUACACACCGCCCGUCAAGCCAUGGAAGUCUGGGGGACCUGAAGACGGUAACCGCAAGGAGCCGUUAAGGGUAAAACAGGUAACUAGGGCUAAGUCGUAACAAGGUACC
rnacentral:rRNA from 1 species